GUCAUUAUCGAGUAAUGAAUUAGGACGUUUGAUAUUAGUUACGUUAUAACAAGCGUUGAGCGCAGUGUAUAAUUGGAGAAUUUAUGAUCAAAUGAAUCCACCUUGCGUAGAACACAAAAUAACAUUUCUUCCAACUAAUUCUUCCAGUAACGUCAUCAUUGUCUAAUUACAUAACAACACGUUUAAUAAAAAUGUUUUCAACAAUAAAUCGCCGCUACCUCUGUUCCAUGUACCCUACCUUGAACAAAUGAUUAAUGAGCAGAUAAAUUGUCAAUUGGAAUAAGAAAUUUGUGGAACAAAAAGUAGCGAUCUUCAUUAUGUAUACAAACUGUAGCGGCUUAGUUAUAAACAAAAUACUAGUAACAGUUUUUUAAUAUUAACCACUCAAUUUCUCUCAAAAUAAUAAUGUUAAGAAAAUUAUUUUUGGUAUUUUUUAAUUUAUCCUUUAUAAUAUAAAAAGGUAUUAAUUUUUUUUUUUUAUGACAACACAUACUUAAAUAUUUUAUAAAAUAAAAAAUAAUCUAAUUAAGAAUAAAACAACUUUUGACCCAUUAAUUUGGAAGUUAUGAACAUUUUAAAAUAUAAAAUGUGUGGAUAUUGUAAUUUGUAAUUUAACAUCUUUACAUUAAAAACUAGUAGUUGUAUUUAAUUUCUUAAAGAAAUAUUGUCAUACUUUUUAUAUUAUUUUAAGUUUAAAUUUACAUUAUUGGGACUGUUAUUAUGGAAUCCUAUCUUUAUUCAAACUCAUAUUUGGCAGGGAACAGAGGCGUAUUAGGUAAGGGGAAUUUUUUAGAAGGGUUCAAAGUAUUGUAACUAUAUGUAAGAUGAUAGCAUAUAUUAUAAUUUAGAAAAUUUAAUUAAAAAAUUAUUUUUGAUGUAACUUAAAUAGAUUGUAUGUAUAACAUAAUUUAGUAUAAAAACCAUGCAAUAUUUUAUAGUUAAACUUUAUUUUCAAUUUUUUUUUAGGUUCAACAAUAUAAUUUUAUUUUUUAAUUAUAUAAUGUAUUUCUUUUUUAUGUUAUAACAACAAAUCUAUAUAAUACAGAGCUACUUCCAUUAUAAUUAAAUAUUAGUGUUAACAUUUAUAAUAUUUUUUAAUAAAUAAGUACAUCUAUAUAAAUAGAACCUAUUAUUAUUAUUGUAGAUCAAAUUAAUGUUCUUUUCAUUUAGUUUAUAUUUAUUCAUAUAAACACAUUUUAAAUCAGGUCCAUGGCUCAAAAAGUUUUAAUAAUAACAUAAAUAAUGGUAGUUUGUUAUUUAUAAUUAUAAAUAAAAUGGUUAUUAGAAAAUAUUAAUUAACCUAAAAUUUUUAUUUAACAACUUCUUAUUAUCAAGGAAACCUGUCUAACCCUCGAUGGGUGAAGAAAAAUCAAUACACAACUAUUAAUUAUACAUAUACAUAAUAAAUAUAAGCAUAUACUGGGCUUUAUCACUAUUAUUGUCAUAGAUACAUAACACCCGAAUUGUAUAAAUCAAAUACAUAACAUAUAUUUUGUAGAUUUUUCAUAUAAAACUAAAAUAUAUAGAUAAAUAAUUUUUUUUAAAUAUAUAUAAAUAUAUUAAUUUAAUAGUAUAAAAAAUUAUAAUGGAUAUAUUUAGUGCCAAUCUGAUGUAAGUAAAAAUUUAUAUAUGAUCUAUUAUCUAAAACAUUUAACAACGAACAAUCAGGAUUUAACACUCAAAAACUUUACAACAAACAAAAUGUUUAUUAUAAAGAUUAAAAAAACGUCUAAGACUCAUAGAGUUAGCACCAAACAUUUUUCAUAAAAAAAAAAAAAAUAUAUAUAUAUAAAUCAAAUAUGCUAAAAAUAUGUUUUAUGCACUUAGAGCAUUUUUGGUAACAAUAACUUCACUAUCCAGCUGUUGCUUAUUAUACUGCUGAAUGUCCGUUAAUUUUUGGUGACUCAUCUCUGACAGCUACAGCAGCCACCAAUGCAGCUCCACGGCCACUACCAUCUUCUGACAA